rnacentral:snRNA from 1 species
GUGCUCGCGUUGGCAACACAUAGACUAAAACUGGAAAGAGACAGAGAAGCUAGCAUGGCUCCCGCUCAAGGAUGUCUUGCUAAUUUAUGAAGCAUUCCACAUUUUA